rnacentral:rRNA from 1 species
AUACGUAGGUGGCGAGCGUUGUCCGGAAUUACUGGGCGUAAAGCGCGCGUAGACGGCUUAGUAAGUCAGAUGUGAAAGACUCGGGCUCAACCUGGGGGCGGCAUCUGAGACUGUUGAGCUUGAGUGCAGGAGAGGCAAGUGGAAUUCCCAGUGUAGCAGUGAAAUGCGUAGAGAUUGGGAGGAACACCAGUGGCGAAGGCGACUUGCUGGACUGUAACUGACGUUGAGGCGCGAAAGCUAGGGGAGCAAACGGGAUUAGAUACCCCGGUAGUCCUAGCCGUAAACGAUGGGUACUAGGUGUGGGAGGUAUCGACCCCUUCCGUGCCGGAGUGAACGCAAUAAGUACCCCGCCUGGGGAGUACGGCCGCAAGGUUGAA